GGGACCCCCCCUGGACCGACCGCCGUCUGCCCGUCUGCCUGCCCCCCCCGGCCCGAGUGUCUCAAGCGAGGCGAGCGCCUGGUGGAGGUGGAGGAGGCCCAGCUGGCGAGCUGCUGUGGGAGUUUCUCCUGCCAGUGUGAGGAGUGCCCAGGCGUGCUGGAGCCAUGUGACGGGGGACGGCAGGUGGAGGUUGUCCUCAACUCGGAGUCAAACUGCUGCCCACAGCUGUCCUGUGUUUGCCGGCGGGAGCUCUGCACGCCGGCACCGACGUGUGGAGAUGGGGAACGACUCACAGAGAGCUAUGGAGCGUGCUGUACCAUCUACACCUGUGGUGAGACACUCACAGAGACUCAUAGACACUCAUAGAGACCCUUAGACACUCAUAGAGACUCACAGAGAGCUAUGGAGCCUGCUGUACCAUCUACACCUGUGGUGAGACACUCACAGAGACUCAUAGACACUCAUAGAGACCCUUAGACACUCACAGAGACCCUUAGACACUCAUAGAGACCCUUAGACACUCAUAGAGACUCACAGAGAGCUAUGGAGCCUGCUGCACCAUCUACACCUGUGGCGAGACACUCACAGAGACUCAUAGACACUCAUAGAGACCCUUAGACACUCACAGAGACUCAUAGACACUCAUAGAGACCCUUAGACACUCAUAGAGACUCACAGAGAGCUAUGGAGCCUGCUGUACCAUCUACACCUGUGGUGAGACACUCACAGAGACUCAUAGACACUCAUAGAGACCCUUAGACACUCAUAGAGACUCACAGAGAGCUAUGGAGCCUGCUGCACCAUCUACACCUGUG